rnacentral:tRNA from 1 species
GCCCGUGUACCGGCGCGCUCUUCUAAAGCGUGAGCCGUAAACGGAUCAUGCAGGUUCGAUCCCUGCCACGGGCACCA